UCGUUUCAGUGCCUCGUUCCUAAGGAGAGAUUGUUCAGUGUUAUCCAUGGAGUAGGUGAGUAUAUAAUAAUUCUGCAAUUUGUUCCUUGUUACUCUUUGCAUUUAUAUGCAUGUUUUAUAUCACGUUCCCUUUUGCUGCUAAUUUAAAGGCCAACUACAACUGUCUAAUAAUAACAUGUUCUCCCCUCUCAGAUGUUUGUCUCUCCUGUAGAUUUAGCCCAGUUUAGUGAGCUCUGCCCUAAUCCAAUCUUAGUCUUUAUUCUUGGUGGCUUUAGUUAUAGAAUGAUAUUGUAUGUAGGAAAGCAGGAGAAUAUUGUAGGAAUGGGAACAGUAAAUGAUUACAGUCUGUGCAUCACAUGAACUAUAAUGAGAAUGAGCAGUUCCCCUACCUCUGUGCAGGUGUUGGGCGAUAUUCCUCUGCACCCCCCUUUCACCCCGGAGCUCGGCAAUGAAAGGGUGCGUGAGGAGCUGCCUUGCAGAUGGUCUCCUGCCUGGGUCUCUCUGCAGGCACUCGCUGAUGAAGAAGCGGAACUCGUCACUCCUGGAAAAAAAAACGGUGUGAAAGGGACUCACCAAUUGCCCCUUGAUGAUAAUGAUGGAAUGGGACCGGUUGUUAUUCUCUGGAUCAGCUUCUGCUUGGGAAGUCUUCUGAAUGCUGGGAUGGAAAGAUACAACACAUAAACAUGAUGACUGAUGAAUACAACAUUUGGGGGCGAUUUGCUUAAAUUGGCAUAUUUAAGCUUUUUUGAAUCCUGUAAAUUCUCUAACUCAAUUGUAUUCUCGUAUCACAGAAACCACAUUACGGCUCUGGAUUCUCUGUUAUGAGAGGGGUAAGUAAAGCGAGUGGAACAUUUACACGCAGUUCACCCUGUGUAAGUGACAUAGUUUAAAGCUUAAUAUAUAAAACUCGCCCACGUUCUAUUCCUUUCUAUGGGAUUUU